GAGUGCCUGCCUGGAGCACACACCAGGAGCAGCAGGCAUGUGCUGACCAGAGGGGGAUUUCAGAAGUUCUUUCCUUCUUGUUUGACCUUGCAGGUGCUGAGGAACGAGGAGCUGACCCAGGAGCUGCUCAGCCUGGCCAAAGAGAGCAGCCACCCCCCUGGCUUGGCCCAUCAAUCCUCCCCAGGGCUGGGAGGGGGGAGAGCAGCGGGACACCCCCGCUCUGCUCGGAGGGGGAAGCCCGAGGAUGCAGCUGCCUCUGAACACGAGCAGCAGGAGCUGGAAAGAAACGUGAGUGAGCGGGGUCUGCUGCAGGAUCCUUGGGAAGCAGAGGGGAUUGAUUCCAACUGCGGCUGGCACCUCCUGCUGCUAACUUGAGUUUUGUAGAUCAGCUGAUGCCUUGAUUCAUUUGAAAUCCUUUUUUUAAACCCUGCAAUUGCAAAACAAGACAGGAAUAACUCCAGAUGUGCAGGCAGAGCUGAGGAGGGCAGAGGUGAUUCCCUGGGUCCAUGCCCUGGCAGGGGGAACACAGACAGGAGCUUAGAAGCCAACAAGUGCAGAGGACACUUUUUUCCUUCUUUCUCACACUUGAGAAAUCUGGGGGUGAUGAAGCACCCAGAACUGAGAGCACAGAGAUGGUUCCUGCCUCCUCCCCAUCUGCAGCCCUUGCAGAACCAGCUUGGGCUCCGCCACCAGCUCCUGCUGGGAAUCUGACUCUCAACGUGAGCGUUUCCCUCGGGAGAGCGACACAUGUGCACCUCCACGUGCCCUGGCUGGGCACCAGACACCAUCCCUGCCUGCUGCAGGGCACCAGUCCUUCCCCCAGCAUGGCACUGCUCAGCUGGACAAGUGCUCAGCUCGAGGUUCUCCUCACUUUGUCCUCUCUUCACUCAGCCUUCUGCCUCAUCUUCCUCUUCGUUUGUCCCUCAGUUGCUUGGAAACCAGGAUCACAUAAAAGUGGAGCUGGAAAAACUGAAGAAAAGGCACGAUGAGCAGCAGCAGAAGCUGGAGGAGCGAGUGUGAGUGUCCCUCUGCUUGGCCAGGUGUUUGUGGGACUUGUUGCAGCUGGAUUUGACCCAUGGGAGCAGGAGAGGGGCAGUCUGCCUUUGGGGGGUACAGGGAAGGAAUGAGGCCUGGAAGGAAAACCUGAUGUUUUCAAGGCUCUUCAGAGCUGUCAAAUGAAAGUUGGUGGUGUUCAGGGACACCUUGAAAAUCCACUCUCUGUGACACACAGCAAACGAGUGACAUCCCAGAGAUGAACCCAGCCCUUACCCACACAGUGGGUUUUCCAUCACCUGGGAAUGGGGUUAGUGUUCCAGGAAAGGCUGCCCCAGCAGGAAUGCUACAGGACUCACCCCUCUGAGCACUGGGUGUUCAUCCUCAGUGGGGAGAGAUUUUGUGGCACUGCUUUGCACAUAUUUGGAUGCUGGCAGCUACUGCUGGGAGAUUUCUGUCAUUCCAAAGUGCUUUUCUUCCCCAAGCUGGUUGUGUUGGACCUAUGGAGAAUCCCAGAAUGGGCUGGGUUGGAGGGGACCCUAAAACCCAUCUCAUUCCACCCCUUGCCAUGGGCACGGACACCUUCCACUAUCCCAGCUUGUUCCAAGCCCUGUCCAGGCUGCCCUUGGACACUUCCAGGGAUGGAGAAGGAGUUUGGGCAGUUGAAAUAAACCCGUUUUCCCCCUGUGUGUGCAGGCUGGCGCUGGGGAAGGAGCUGCAGGAGGCCAAGGGAGCGGUUGGGGACAGCCAGCACAGGCUGGCACAGCAAUCCGCGGUGAGCACGGGCUGCCUGCACCCCUCUGCCUCCUCCUGAGCUGCCAGGCCUGGGCUGCCGUGUGGAGCAGUGAUUCCAGGUGCUCCAGCAGCUCUCCCUCUCCAGGCAUUUUGUCCCACCGAGGUUCUCCCCGUGCCGUUUCCUCCUGCACGUGGUGGAAGUGCUGCUUGCAGAGCUGGUGGGAGGAAUUUUGCUCACUGGUUUUCAGAAAGAGUUGGUGGAAUCACCGGGGUUGGGGGUGGCAGAUGACAGAAGGUAACAGGGGAAUAGGGAUUAUAAACAUUUCCAGUAGGUUCCUCUGAAAAUCCAGGAGCUUCUCAGAUCUAGUGAAGCCAAAUAUCUGGAAAUGAAGACCCUCAGCUCUUAAGAAGUGUCUCAGCUCCCGCUCCUCGGCUGGAGGAGCAGGCCAGCAGGAUUUUUGUUUGCUGUGGCAGGUGCUGCUCACGUCCCAGGGCCAGCUCCAGGAGGUGGAGGCGGAGAACUCCCGGCUGCAGCUGCAGCUGAAGGAGCUGAACGAGGAGUAUCGCUCCCGGCUGGCGCAGAACAUCAGGGACCUGGCGGUGGGUGCCCAGCCCGGGGCUCUCCUGGCCUGGGAGGUGCCACAGAUUCAUGGGAUAUCCUGAGCUGGAAGGGUUCCACAAAGGUCAUGGAUCCAGCCCCUGGCCCUGCACAGACACCCCAAAUCCCACCCUGGGCAUCCCUGAGAUCACUGUCCAAGCAUUCCUGGAGCUCUGGCAGCCUCAGGGCUGUGCCCAUUCCCUGGGGAGCCUGGGCAGUGCCAGCACCUCUGGGGGAAGAACCUUUCCAGCCUGACCCUGCCCUGGCACAGCUCCAGCUGUUCCUCCCCUCAGCUGUCUCCAUACUGGCACCCUCCUCUUGUAGGCUGCUGCCAAUAAAUAAGAGUAAAUACAUAAAGAAAGGGUUUUUUUAAUCCCUGUAAUCUGACCAAGAAAAGUCCCAGCAGAAGCUCACCAAUAAUUUUGCGUGGCCCUACAGGAAAUCUGGGUGUGUGGGGGGGCUGCCACAGAAUCAUGGAAUGGGUUGGAAGGGAUUUUAAAGCUCAUCCAGUGUCACCCCCUGCCAUGGCAGGGACACCUCCCACUAUCCCAGGUGACUCCAAGCCCUGUCCAGCCUGGCCUUGGGCACUGCCAGGGAUCCAGGGGCAGCCACAGCUGCUCUGGGCACCCUGUGCCAGGGAACAAUUCCUUCCCAAUAUCCCAAUAUCUCAUCCAUCCCUGCCCUCUGGCAGGGGGAAGCCAUUCCCCCUGGAUUUCCCUCUCUGUGCAUUUCCAGAACUACAUGGACAGCAAACCCAGCAGCGUGACAGGACACAGCAGAGCCCCAGCUGGCCACGCUGCCAUGAAGGACUUUGUGGACAGCAUGCUUGGGGACAUCCGAGCUUCCUACAGGUCCCGGGAGGAGCAGCUGGCUCGGGCAGCCCGGGGC
ensembl:lncRNA